rnacentral:lncRNA from 1 species
CAUGCAGNGGGAACCCGACGGGACUCGAUCCCGGGCCUCCAGGAUCACACCCUGGGCUGAAGGCAGCACCAAAACGCUGAGCCACCCGGGCUGCCCUGAGGUUCAAUUUUUAUCUGUAAAACGUGUGUAACUAAAAUGUAGCCAAGCCUUCCUUGGGCAGCUCAGAUCUGACCUCACCACAUAACGUUGCACUAAAAAAAAGAAGAAGAAAACCCAUAAAUCGGAGUAUUACAGAAUAAUCUACUGUGUUCCUUUGAAAUCAGAACAUGUUUUCAAAUGAUGGGUAUUUGUCAUAUUUCUUUCUUCUUUCUUUCUUUCUUUCUUUCUUUCUUUCUUUCUUUCUUUCUUCUUUCUUUCUUUCUUCUUUCUUCUUUCUUUCUUUCUUUCUUCUUUCUUUCUUUCUUUUCUUCCUCCCUCCUUCCCUCCCUCCUUCCCUCCCUUCUUGCCUUCCUGCCUUCCUUUUGGCUGGCACAGAGAAUAAUGAUGUACUCCACCAUUGAUUAUAUCUUACAGGCAGUGGUGUCUUAGAUUUAAAUGAAAUAUGGCAGUGUCUUUUUUUCUAAGAGUUUAUUUAUAUAUUUGAGAGAGAAAGAGCACAAGCUGGCAGAGGGGGNCCCUCCUUCCCUCCCUUCUUGCCUUCCUGCCUUCCUUUUGGCUGGCGCAGAAAAUAAUGAUGUACUCCACCAUUGAUUAUAUCUUACAGGCAGCGGUGUUUUAGAUUUAAAUGAAAUAUGGCAGUGUCUUUUUUUCCUAAGAGUUUAUUUAUAUAUUUGAGAGAGAAAGAGCACAAGCUGGCAGAGGGGGGCAGAGAGGGAGGAAGAAACAGACUCCCCGCUAAGCAGGGAACCCAACUUGAGGUUCCAUCCCAGGAUCUGAGCCGAAGGCAGAUGCUUAACCGACUGAGCCACCCAGGCGCCCAGCAUGUGGCAGAGUCAGUAUUGAGGCUUUCUUGGAGCUCUGAAGGGCCCUUCUCCACACAUGUCCAAAGGAAAAGAAAAGCACAGAACACAUCCUGAGUCUCCACGAAGUGAUUAAUGAGCUAAAAUUCACUUUUGAUUCAAGAAGGUCCUGAAUUGCUAGCUCCUCAUUGGUCUCCACAUGGGGCACACCAUCUUGUCACUCUCCACCCGCGUUCCCUCCCAGACCCCCAGGACAACAAGACACCUAGGUCAAGAAAGAAAGAGACAGAGAAAAUACAUUCUAUUCUUCUCCAUCUGACUAAGGCUUGACACUGGGAGUGACCUCACUGUCUUUGAGAAUCCUGGUCUCACCUUUACAGGUCUCAGCAGGACACCUCUAUCUUUGUAUGACUAGCGGGUGAUAGCACCAACUGUUGUGCAUGGAAUAAAUGCUCCUAUGUUGGUGGCA